rnacentral:misc_RNA from 1 species
AAAGUCGUAACAAGGUUUCCGUAGGUGAACCUGCGGAAGGAUCAUUUCCGAAACAAAUUCAUAUCAACCAACCAUGUGAAUUGUAAUUGUCUUUACUGUGGCACACCUACAAAAGGGAGUGUGUGCUGGGAGAGAGAGAGAGAGAGGGGAAAGGGGUUGGGGGGGGAAAGUGACGAAAGUCAUUUCUUCUCCUCCUCCUCCUCCUCCUCCCCCUCCUUCUGGCCCCCUUUGUGCCACAGGCCUUGAUGAACUACCUUGAAUAGGUUGAUUUAUUGUCGUUCUUCCUACCAAUAUGGAAAACCAAUUAAAUGACAACUUUUAACGGUGGAUCUCUUGGCUCGU